rnacentral:tRNA from 1 species
GCUUUGGUAGCUUAAUGGUUAAAGCCUUAUAAUGUCACUAUAAGAGAUGUCAGUUCGAGUCUGAUGCAAAGCG